rnacentral:tRNA from 1 species
GCCCAAAUGGUGGAAUUGGUAGACACGCUAUCUUCAGGUGGUAGUGCCUUCAGUGGCAUGGGGGUUCGAGUCCCUCUUUGGGUA